AGCCAGACUCCUACGGGAGGCAGCAGUGGGGAAUAUUGCACAAUGGGGGAAACCCUGAUGCAGCGACGCCGCGUGAACGAAGAAAUAUUUCGGUAUGUAAAGUUCUAUCAGCAGGGAAGAAAAUGACAGUACCUGACCAAGAAGCCCCGGCUAACUACGUGCCAGCAGCCGCGGUAAUACGUAGGUGGCAAGCGUUGUCCGGAUUUACUGGGUGUAAAGGGCGUGUAGCCGGGCUUACAAGUCAGAUGUGAAAUCCGGGGGCUCAACCCCCGAACUGCAUUUGAAACUGUAGGUCUUGAGUAUCGGAGAGGCAGGCGGAAUUCCUAGUGUAGCGGUGAAAUGCGUAGAUAUUAGGAGGAACACCAGUGGCGAAGGCGGCUUACUGGACUGUAACUGACGUUGAGGCUCGAAAGCGUGGGGAGCAAACAGGAUUAGAUACCCCAGUACG
rnacentral:rRNA from 1 species